rnacentral:rRNA from 1 species
GACGAACGCUGGCGGCGUGCUUAACACAUGCAAGUCGAACGGAAAGGCCCUGCUUUUGUGGGGUGCUCGAGUGGCGAACGGGUGAGUAACACGUGAGUAACCUGCCCCUGACUUUGGGAUAUCUUCAGGAAACUGGGGCUCAUACCGGAUAGGAGCUCUUGCUGCAUGGUGGGGGUUGGAAAGUUUCGGCGGUUGGGGAUGGACUCGCGGCUUAUCAGCUUGUUGGUGGGGUAGUGGCUUACCAAGGCUUUGACGGGUAGCCGGCCUGAGAGGAUGACCGGCCACAUUGGGACGGAGAUACGGCCCAGACUCCUACGGGAGGCAGCAGUGGGGAAUAUUGCACAAUGGGCGGAAGCCAGAUGUAGCACCGCCGCGUGCGGGAUGACGGGCUUCGGGUUGUAAACCGCUUUCGCCUGUGACGAAGCGUGAGUGACGGUAAUGGGUAAAGAAGCACCGGCUAACUACGUG